rnacentral:rRNA from 1 species
GACGAACGCUGGCGGCGUGCUUAACACAUGCAAGUCGAGCGGUAAGGCCUUUCGGGGUACACGAGCGGCGAACGGGUGAGUAACACGUGGGUGAUCUGCCCUGCACUUCGGGAUAAGCCUGGGAAACUGGGUCUAAUACCGGAUAUGACCUCCUACCGCAUGGUGGGUGGUGGAAAGAUUUAUCGGUGCAGGAUGGGCCCGCGGCCUAUCAGCUUGUUGGUGGGGUAAUGGCCUACCAAGGCGACGACGGGUAGCCGACCUGAGAGGGUGACCGGCCACAAUGCGACUGAGACACGGACCAGACUCGUACGUGAGGCAGCAGUGGGGAAUAUUGCACAAUGGGCGAAAGCCUGAGGCAGCGACGCCGCGUGAGGGAUGACGGCCUUCGGGUUGUAAACCUCUUUCAGCAGGGACGAAGCGCAAGUGACGGUACCUGCAGAAGAAGCACCGGCUAACUACGUG